UCCCUAGUGUCUCAGACCAUAAAGAAUCUGCCUGCGAUGCAGGAGACCUAGGUUCCAUCCCUGGGUGGGGAA
rnacentral:tRNA from 1 species